UACGUAGGUGGCAAGCGUUGUCCGGAAUUAUUGGGCGUAAAGCGCGCGCAGGCGGUUUCUUAAGUCUGAUGUGAAAGCCCCCGGCUCAACCGGGGAGGGUCAUUGGAAACUGGGAAACUUGAGUGCAGAAGAGGAAAGUGGAAUUCCAAGUGUAGCGGUGAAAUGCGUAGAGAUUUGGAGGAACACCAGUGGCGAAGGCGGAUUCUCGUGCGUCGUAGACGCUGAGGCGAG
rnacentral:rRNA from 1 species